rnacentral:rRNA from 1 species
UACAGAGGGGGCAAGCGUUGUUCGGAAUUACUGGGCGUAAAGGGCGCGUAGGCGGCCUGUUAAGUCGAACGUGAAAUCCCUGGGCUCAACCCAGGAACUGCGUCCGAUACUGGCAGGCUUGAAUCCGGGAGAGGGAUGCGGAAUUCCAGGUGUAGCGGUGAAAUGCGUAGAUAUCUGGAGGAACACCGGUGGCGAAGGCGGCAUCCUGGACCGGCAUUGACGCUGAGGCGCGAAAGCCAGGGGAGCGAACAGG